AAAGACAAGAGGACACCAGUGUGCAUCAGGUGUAACAGCAACUCCAUUUGGAUGGCACUGGCUUCCAGUGGAGCUGCUGUUACUUUCGAUGGGCACUUACAUAUCAAGGAUCCCUU
rnacentral:pre_miRNA from 17 species